UACGGAGGGGGCUAGCGUUGUUCGGAAUUACUGGGCGUAAAGCGCACGUAGGCGGCUUUGUGAGUUAGAGGUGAAAGCCUGGAGCUCAACUCCAGAAUUGCCUUUAAGACUGCAUCGCUUGAGUCCAGGAGAGGUGAGUGGAAUUCCGGGUGUAGAGGUGAAAUUCGUAGAUAUUGGGAAGAACACCAGUGGCGAAGGCGGCUCACUGGACUGGUAUUGACGCUGAGGUGCGAAAGCGUGGGGAGCAAACAGG
rnacentral:rRNA from 1 species